rnacentral:rRNA from 1 species
UUAAGUCCCGCAACGAGCGCAACCCUCAUCCUUAGUUGCCAUCAUUCAGUUGGGCACUCUAGCGAGACUGCCGGUAAUAAACCGGAGGAAGGUGGGAUGACGUCAAGUCAUCAUGCCCCUUAUGUCCUGGGCUGCACACGUGCUACAAUGGCCGGCACAAUGGGCUGCGAUACCGCGAGGUGGAGCGAAUCCAUAAACCGGCCCAGUUCGGAUCGAAGGCUGCAACUCGCCUUCCGUGAAGUCGGAGUUGCUAGUAAUCGCGGAUCAGCAUGCCGCGGUGAAUACGUUCCCGGGCCUU